AUUGAACGCUGGCGGCAGGCCUAACACAUGCAAGUCGAACGAGUGGCGGACGGGUGAGUAAUGUCUGGGAACCUGCCUGAUGGAGGGGGAUCACUACUGGAAACGGUAGCUAAUACCGCAUACCAUCAGAUGUGCCCAGAUGGGAUUAGCUAGUUGGUGGAGUAACGGCUCACCAGGGCGACGAUCCCUAGCUGGUCUGAGAGGAUGACCGGCCACACAGGGACUGAGACACGGUCCAGACUCCUACGGAAGGCAGGAGUGGGGAUUAUUGCACAAUGGGCGCAAGCCAGAUGCAGCCAUGCCGCGUAUAUGAAGACGGCCUUCGGGUUGUACAGUACUUUAAGCGGGGAGGCGUUACCCGCAGAAGAAGCACAGGCUAACUCCGUGCCAGCAGCCGCGGUAAUUC
rnacentral:rRNA from 1 species